ACCGUUAGAAAUGUUUCAGCCUUGAUCUCUUAACAACAUUCAGCUACAGAUUAACUCCCGAGACCAGAGUCAGCAGAGAGCAACAAGUAACUCAUAAAGAGUUCGCUGUAUUUAUGUUGGCUAAAGUAACAUUGUCAGUUUUGUACACGUAAUACUGUAGGAAAAUGUAUUGAAUGUGUUUAUUUGGAAAAGAACAGGCCGUGGAAACGCAACCUGGGACAGGAAACGCAGAUUGAACUGCAAGUGCUUUGUCCAGAGCCACCGUUCAUAGGAGCUAAUACCCUGGAAUUUUGCUGAUGUCAUAUGGACCUUUCCCUGGCAUUUGUAACUUAUAAUUCUCCAGAGCUGAUUAUUAUAAUGAAAGGGGAAACCUGCUCAAUUUUCAUUACCUUGUACGUCACAACCAAGACUGAAAAAAUAAAUUGUUUAAAGUCCUUCUAAUCAGCACACUGUAUAGGCUUUCCCUGAAUGUAAUGACAAGCAGAAGUGUAUAAGUGUUACUUCAGGCUUUUAUAACAUCAUGCAAAUAAUUAAAACAGAUCACAUGAAGAUUUGCUUUCACACACUUCUCCAUUUUAGGUUUCUCUUGUGCAAGAACAUUUUCUUUUGUCUGUACAUUUGGUAAAGCAGUGAAACCCAUAAAAGUAAUAAUUUAUGCAGUAUACAAAGAAUUAAAUAUCCUGUAAACAUUGUUCUCAUUCACCAGAAAGCAGCAGUCCUAUUUUUGUAGCCAAACCAUUUUAUUAUUUAGUAAGAUUGGAAAGCUGUGAAAAGCUUUUGCACUGACAGGGUGAAUGUUUACAGCUGUCUUAGACAAAACAGUGACUGAUGGUCAACAAACGAUGUUAGCAGCAGGCACUGUAAUUGUUCAUUCAGGCAUUUACUAAAAUGUACAUGCUCAGGACAUUAAAAAAUUAAUUAUACAAAGACAAAAAUUAAUUAUACAGGUGUAGACACACCCUGUCCCCGGAUUUCAACCCUACUGAAAACUCCUGGAAUUCAAGAAAACAUGCAGUUCAAUCCUACACAUGAUUACCCCUCAUCAUAACCUCAAUUGAAGGUCAUCCUUCUGGAAAAAUGGGAUGGGACUGGACUGCAAAUAUUUCAGAACCUAGUGACCGUGUGCCAAUUCCUGGUGAAGCUGUUCUUAUUUCUCACAAAGUCUCAAUACAGUUGUACUUGGUUUGCUACCAUUUUGGUCUGAGAUUGUACAUCAUAUCAACCACCAACAGAGACUUGAGGACAAUUUACUGUUUGAACAAAUGUGUAACGCCAUUAUAUAUGACAUAACCCUGAUCUUGUGGUGACUAUGAAAAAUGCUUAAAUAGCCAAACACUAACCCAAUUCCUGUUGAAAGGAAUUAAAAUCUA